rnacentral:rRNA from 1 species
UACGUAGGGGGCGAGCGUUGUCCGGAAUUAUUGGGCGUAAAGGGCUCGUAGGCGGUUUGUCGCGUCGGGAGUGAAAUCCACUGGCUUAACUGGUGGCUUGCUUUCGAUACGGGCAGACUAGAGUGCGGUAGGGGAGACUGGAAUUCCUGGUGUAGCGGUGAAAUGCGCAGAUAUCAGGAGGAACACCGGUGGCGAAGGCGGGUCUCUGGGCCGUAACUGACGCUGAGGAGCGAAAGCAUGGGGAGCGAACAGG